ensembl:lncRNA
UGAGUGAUCAGUCAUUGAGUGUGAUGACAAUGCCAUCAAUCAUGAAUGCUGAAGCACUGGCCUUUGACUGGCUGGAACAGUAUCUAUACUGGAGCUGUAACACAAAUCAAAUAUGCCAAGGGUCUGUAUCUGCUCGUGGGGUUGAGAUAUUUUUCCAAGCAGAGCAGAAGAUUCUCAGUUUGGUGGUUGAUUCAUUGAAUGCUGCCAUCUACUGGAGCACUGAAACAUCAGUAGAAGGUUGUAGAUUGGAUGGAGAAGACUACCAACUCCUGGAAAAACUGAGUGUGUUCUCUGGGAAAGAGCAGGUACUUCAUUAGACGCUGACAUGACAUUGAUUAUUGUGAUUGUAUCGAUCGCUGCCUAUAUUAAACUGAUUAUUCUCAUCUUCCCCGCAGUUAUAGUUUGGCAAAUACACCAUAAGAAAAAGGAUCAUGGGAUGGUUACACAAAGAGGUGCACACGUCCAUCCAGAUGUAGAGUUGGAGUAUAUUCGAGGUUUAGUUGGUCUUGGGAAUGGCCGCUGUGCUAUCAGUAACAUACCCGCCCAUGGAGAGAUUGAGUCACUUCCUGUGUUUCCUAGAGACUGUCUGAGCUUCAGAAGUCGUUGGGUUGUGGUGCUUUUGGAGACGUUUAUGAAGGAGUUACAGUUGGCAGCCAAAUCACUGAAGUUGUUCCAGAGAUGAGAGUGGCUGUCAAGGGACAUUGCUGCAAGGAACUGUCUGCUGUCUGUAAGAAGCUACACAGACCCAGAAAGGUAUAAUCUGAUGAUGAGCUGCUGGAGCAAAGAACCAACUAAGAGGCCAAACUUUCAGGACCUUGAGGAAGCCCUGAGUAAACUGAGAGAUUAUGAGGCGGAUAAAAGAGCAAACAAAGAGCAGCAGGUCAUGUGAACCAAGCCUACCAAGAAGAUGAAGAGGAGGUCUGCACUAGUGUGAAGAUGAAGAUGAAGACCUGGAAACUGGACUGUCUCCGGUGCUCAGCAAUGAGAGACUGAAUUACUUGAUGUAUCAUGCUGAGAGCCCGGAGAGUGUCCAGACAGACUCAUCGACACCCACCGAAGAUAGAUAAGACUAUAAUUGCCAGUGUUGACAUCGCUGGCAUCCGAAGUUUGUACAAAUUGUGAGCCGGACCUCACUUUGUAAUCUUCUUCCUUGUAAAUACUGUAUAAAACAGCAGCAACAAUGAAAAUAAUAAUGUAGAAUGAUGCAUAAAAAGUUAUAUAUGUAUUUCCUAAAACAAAUACCAGUGGUUGAAUUUGUUAAAUUAUGCAAACAGCCAAAUGAAUGAAUGAAAGUUGUAUUUUUGAUGUAUAGGAUUAAUGUAGAGUUGAAUGAUCAAUAAAAAGAGAUA